GACGAACGCUGGCGGCGUGCCUAAUACAUGCAAGUCGAACGAAGCUGUUUUAACUGGUGCUUGCACCGACUUAAACAACUGAGUGGCGAACGGGUGAGUAACACGUGGGUAACCUGCCCCCAAGCGGGGGAUAACAUUUGGAAACAGAUGCUAAUACCGCAUAACCAUAGAAACCACAUGGUUUCUGUGUCAAAGAUGGUUUCGGCUAUCACUUUGGGAUGGACCCGCGGCGUAUUAGCUAGUUGGUAAGGUAAUGGCUUACCAAGGCAAUGAUACGUAGCCGAACUGAGAGGUUGAUCGGCCACAUUGGGACUGAGACACGGCCCAAACUCCUACGGGAGGCAGCAGUAGGGAAUCUUCCACAAUGGACGAAAGUCUGAUGGAGCAACGCCGCGUGAGUGAAGAAGGUUUUCGGAUCGUAAAACUCUGUUGUCAGAGAAGAACGUGUGCGAGAGUAACUGCUCGUGCAGUGACGGUAUCUGGCCAGAAAGCCACGGCUAACUACGUGCCAGCAGCCGCAGUAA
rnacentral:rRNA from 1 species